rnacentral:lncRNA from 1 species
UGCGCUCGAGGGAUUUCCGCUGGUGUGAAGAAGGUCGGUUGGACUUUUCCCUUUUGCUUAAUGCGUGCGUGUAGGGUUGCAACGGGUGUCUCCUUGUGCGACUGAGCUGUGGCGGCGGCGGCUUGCAGUUUCUCCGCCUGGUGGGUGCGCCGCUGGUUUGGCUGCCUUCCAUCUCCUAGAUUGCUUUCCUCGGCGGGUGGAUUUGCUUCGUCCAUGUCUCCUUCCUUCGCUCAAGUUCAGGUUUAGUUUCCUUCCCUUUCCUUUUUGAUGGUAAUUAUUUGGUUUGUCGUCUCGCCUCUGUAUUAGGGUGCGGUCUGGGUGGUCUCGGGUUGGUGCUCUUUGCGGAUGGGGAGGGGGAGGGGGUGGGGGAGAAGGGGGUGGGUGGGGUUCGUCCGGUAGAAUCUCAGUUCAGUUUGCGUUCUUGUGCUGCGUUUGGUGAGGUAGAAGAGGUGCUUCAUCUGCUCUGUUAUGUCUUUUGCGCCGAUCACUGAUCUAUGGAGUGAUUACUAAUCAGGCUUGUUAAUCUAGAUAUUCUCAUGGAGCAGAAUCUUUCUUCAACAAAUUACUGUGUUAGUAUGUGUUUCAAUCUAUAAGAGGGCGGCUAUAAGUAAAUGGUAAAGAUGAAGUCCCGCAUCUGUCUUUUCCUUACGUUGUUGAAAUAGACGAUGAAUUCUUUAGAUAAAUGUGUGUGUCCACUUCAGUUUAACAACAACCUUCAUUGACAUUUAGUAUUUGUUACCAAUAUUUUGCUGGUGAUGGGAUUGUCGUAUUUGGUUUGGUACCAACGAACCAAGGCAGAUUUGUGAAAUGAUUGUCAUACCGAUCCUUUUUGCACAAGCAAACUUGUGAACUAUAAAUCAAACUCCUGUCAAAUUCAUUAUAUAGCAACUAUUGGCAAGAGGCUGGUCCCUUUGCGAGGGGAGUAUUGGCUACCUAAUGCUUGCUCCUAAAAAUGAUCAUGAUUGUUUUGCAAGUGGAUAGAGACCAUACAAUAGCUAAAUAUUAUUGGUACGUGCAGCGAUCAGUGUGUCCUGCAAUUUUGGUUCGUGUCCAACUGGUGCUAAACCAAUUACUGAUCGUGCCAAUAUGAUGGCAUGGUUACAAAAUUCUGCCAAUUCUCUUGACAGCCACUGGUGGCAAGAUUCACUUGAUGUACUUGACGCAUAUGCGUAUACUUCUUCAUCGAUUGUGAACAAAAAAAUUAACUAGGCAUGCCGAGCUUAGUGAUAGCUUUUCCUUGAGGGGAGUGUCAAAUGAAAAAGUCAACAUCUGUUAUGUUCAUGAGCUAUUAACUGUUGGCAAGAAAAAUGUCCUAAUCCUUAUAAAAAUAUUUGAAUCCCUGUUGUUAGCUUGAAAAAAAAGCAUCUGUUGAUUAUGAGUUUGAAGAAAUUUUGUAUGACAUUUUAAAAAGUAACAAAGGAGGAUCAUUUAACUAGGUAAAUGUAAUUCUGUUUUUAUGCUGCAGCUGCACUUUCUGCAUAGGAGGAUCAUUUAACUAGGGAAACGUAUCUUUUUUAUGGUGUACCUGCAUUGCAAGUUCAUAGAGGAGGCUAUGCUAAUCUUUUAAUUGAGAGUUGUUGGUUUGUUGGUUGUAGGUUUUGAAUGGGCAUGACAUCCAACCUCGUGUUUUUUUAUUCAUGAGUUUUUACAAUCCUGUGACCGAUGUGCCUGCGCAUUAUGAAGCGGCUGAUGCCCAACUAGAUGAAUGAGUUGCAUAAGCAAUGGCUUAGUUUGUGAUUUAUAUGGAGCCUCAGAACUUGCUGCAUCAUAGUUGUAUUGUUCCUCACACACCUGAACCAUGCCUACCCUCACUUGAUGUUUGGUUAAGAAAUUUAGCACCUGGUAUUAAUUCUAGCCUUUCGCUCUUUCAUAUGUGGCAUCAUUGAGGGUUAUUUUCUAAUUGAUUUAGCAAGUUUAGGUUCCAGAAUUUGGUUACUUCCAUCGCCGAAACUGAAACUGAAACUGUACUGCUAUUCAUUGAGAAGUUGUUAGCUACAAUUUCUUUAAGAAAUGUGGAUGCAGAAUUAUUUUAAAGUAACUUAUAAGGUAUUGCCCGUAUAUCUAUGGUUAUUUAUGAAUAGAUGAUAGGUUGCUUGUAUCCUCAUUUGUUCUGUGUGGACAAGUAGAACAAUGUGUAAUUAAUACGAAAAUUAACAAAGCUUGUUUUACAUUAACUUACAUGAUAGUUCUUAUAUCUACAUUUAUAUAUGCACACCUCAGAAGAUGAUUCUAGCCUCAUUCGUUAUGUGUUCUCAGGUUAAGCAACAUGGAGUUUAAAAAUUAGCAAAGCAGUGGUCGCCUCCUAUGUUAUCAAAGAUGUUUGUGACCAUACACAUUACAUUGAAACCAUACGGCUACACCUGGACAUGAAUGUAAGUGAAAUAAAGUGUUAAAGUGUAUUUACGUGCUAUGACUGUUUAUUGUAUUUUACUCUUUUUUGGUAAAGUUCAUUGACUAAUAAUUUGUGUAGUGGUAAGAUAAACUUUCAAAACUCAGUAUCAAAGGGGAGGUACUAAAAUGGGAACUUUAUGUAGAAAUAAUGCCCUCACAGAUGAAGAAAUAUACUCCCUCCGUCCCAAAAUUAGUGACUCAACUUUUACUAGCUUUUUAAAAUAAGUGACUCAAUUUUAUACUAGCUUUAGUACAAAGUUAGUACAAAGUCGAGUCACUUAUUUUGGGACGGAGGGAGUACUAUCUUAGUUUCAUUCCUGUCAUUGGCUAGGAUCACAUCCAGUAAGUAAAAGACAUACAAACCAUGCGGUGGUCUAAUAAACAUUAUUUGGAGUCUUGAUAUUCCAAUAGUAUAGAAAUGGUUAUGUAAGAUACAGUUGAAAGCACAAGUGCUCCCUGGGCAAUUUUGGUAAUUUAUGUCAACAUAUCUUUUGUUGGACUAAUACUUUCAUCCAGUAUAUUUCAGAUGAGUUCAACAGUGGAGUGGCAUGGACAAAAGGAUGUGGAACCCCUUCAAGAUGCUAACGACAAAGGAUUGGCUCAAGCUCAAAAGCUCAGGACUCUACCUUUUCCAUUUUAGUGAUCCAAGAUCACAUUGAGUCUAUAGGAAAGCCAAUACUAUUAAAAGGGGAUGAGGUGUUGCUUAAUGCCUUGCUUGCUCAAAAUGCUUAGUGAUAUGCUCACAGCCCUCAACCACUUUCUCAUAUCCACAUUUGUCCAAAACUAAAAUUCAAACUCGGCCCCAUUGAUUUGAUCCAUCCGACGCCACCGAGUUCAUUUGACAUAGUCACUGCCAGAAAUCCUAGUCUUUUCGGUCUUAACGAUAGGGAUCUCGGUCUCACCGAGAUGGGAUUGCAAACUCUCUGUUUCCCUUCGUAACAUUUCGGUCUAACUGAGAUAGGCGAAUCGGUCCCAUCGAGUCUGCAAUGCAAACUCUCUGUUUCUUUUUCGUAACGCUUUGGUCCCACUGAGAUGAGCGAAUCGGUCCCACCGAGUUUGCCUGACCAACUCUCUGGUUAGCUUAUUACCAA